rnacentral:tRNA from 1 species
GGCCAUGUAGCCAAAUGGAUAGGGAAUCUGAUUCCAGAUUAGAAGAUUGAGGGUUCAAGUCUUUUCAUGGUCA